GUGCUGCUUCCAAUAUCAUACAGCUGCAACCUCAUCUUCUUAUCCCUGAAGAGUAGUUUGUGGCCUGUUUCAUUCAGUUCCAGCCAAUCAAUCUUGCUGUCGUGGCUGACAGUGCCAACACUGUAGUUACCAACAAGGUCCACUGUUGCUAUAGUCUUGAUGUCUAUCAAAUAAGCCAGCCUCUUGUUCUCCUCCACGCCUCUCUGUUGUCUCUCAUUGAUACGGACACUGACCAGAUGGGGAUUCACAAACUCUGUGCGGACAGACCCUAAGAUGUCAUUGCUUCCAUAUUCCACCAGUGUCAGCUCCCCUGCAUUAAAGAUCAUGCAGACAUUCUCAUUGUCGAAGAAGAACUUCUCAUUCCCUCCAGAUCCUUGCC
rnacentral:lncRNA from 1 species